GUGCUCACUUCGGUAGCACAUGUACUAAAAUUAGAACGAUACAGAGAAGAUUAGCAUGGCCCCUGUGCAAGGAUGACACGCAAAUUCGUGAAGCAUUCCAUAUUUUU
rnacentral:snRNA from 1 species